CAAAACUAGAGUACUCCGACAUACCUCCCAUCGGAUACUCUGGAUAGCCAAAACCUGAGGUCUGAGCACCUCCCUGCGACUCUCCCAUACCUUCCUCAAAACUGCCUAUACCCAUGCUAUCAUCUCUAGACUGAUCAAGCUCCAUAGCUUCCAUCCUUUCCUCUGAUCUUUCUCCCCUAACUGUUCCUCUUCUGCUCUCGUCGACAGACCUUCUAGGGUCUAUUGACGUACCUUCCCUACUAGAUCUCUGAGACCUUGCCCUUGGCAAUGCAGGAGGACGAGCAGCUGGUCUCUCAUUCUCUGGUGGGAC
rnacentral:lncRNA from 1 species